AUUUGGUGAUGAGGACAAGUGGUAUAGAACUUGUUGAAUCUCUCCCAGUACUCAUACAAAUUCUCACCAUUUUGUUGUCUUAUUCUACAAAUCUCGUUUCUAAUUU
rfam:Cajanus cajan CcLG11_1489, whole genome shotgun sequence.